rnacentral:tRNA from 1 species
CGGGGAGUGGCUCAGCCCGGUAGAGCAUCUGGUUUGGGACCAGAGGGUCGCAGGUUCAAAUCCUGUCUCCCCGACCA